rnacentral:rRNA from 1 species
GGGCGGGGGGGUGCCUAUACCUGCAAGUCGAGCGGACAGAUGGGAGCUUGCUCCCUGAUGUUAGCGGCGGACGCCUUUUUAACACGUGGGUAACCUGCCUGUAAGACUGGGAUAACUCCGGGAAACCGGGGCUAAUACCGGAUGGUUGUUUGAACCGCAUGGUUCAAACAUAAAAGGUGGCUUCGGCUACCACUUACAGAUGGACCCGCGGCGCAUUAGCUAGUUGGUGAGGUAACGGCUCACCAAGGCAACGAUGCGUAGCCGACCUGAGAGGGUGAUCGGCCACACUGGGACUGAGACACGGCCCAGACUCCUACGGGAGGCAGCAGUAGGGAAUCUUCCGCAAUGGACGAAAGUCUGACGGAGCAACGCCGCGUGAGUGAUGAAGGUUUUCGGAUCGAAAAAGCUCUGUUGGUAGGGAAGAACAAAGUACCGUUCGAAUAGG